ACCAAAGCAGCGGUAUGAUGAUGGUGUUCUCCCCAUGGCUCCGAGGAGCUCACGGUUCUUCCCUGCCACACCAAGGGAUUGAAUAUGUUUUGCGGGAAGAAAGUGAGGGGACAGUGUAGUUUUCUAUGGUGAUUGAUGAUCGCUACCAAUACUCCAUCAACUACAUAUGUUACACGUGGCACAGUUUGCCUCUAGAUGCUUCGGUCUAGCUGCUGGUGAUGCUGCCGCUGCUGCUGCUGCAAGGAGGCCAUCCUGCACGAGGUCAAGCUGCUAGGCCCCAAGCCCAAUUGCGGGAGCUCGACGCCUCCGUUUAGAACAUGUCAACAUCGGCACCAAAAGGUUGUGCCAGUACAAGAACUUCAAGGAAGGUCACAAGAAGACUCUUGUGGCUACAUAUUUAGUUGGCUGGGGAAUUGAUAUUUAGCAUGUCAAUAAUGUCAUAAACUAUGACAUACAUAAUUAUGCUGAUGUACAUACUUGCACAGGAUAUCUGACACCAAGAGGGUGAAUAGUCUUGUGAGUGACAGCCAGAUAUGGGCGCACAAUAUGCCUGUGGCUUUGGCUGAGUCUUGUGAGUGAGCCACAUGUAGGCGCACAAUAUGCCCACGGCUUCAACUGCUUACCUCUGCCCUCGCCACCGUCCUCGUGUCAUGCUGCUUGGCCGUGGACGAACAUCACUACUCUUGUGAUGGCAGCGAGUUCACCGUGCCACAACCACGGGGGUGGUGAUGUCUCAUCCUCGGCUGCAAUUGCCCUCUGGGACUGAAUUUGUUUUGAGGGAAGAAAGUCAGGGGACAAUGUAAUUUGAUGUGGUCAUCAAUGGUCAUUACCAACUCUCAAUCAACAGAACAUGUUACACGCGGCAUGGCUUGCCUCUAGCUCCUUCGGUCUGGUGUGACCAACCCAUUCCUGCUCUGGCGGUUCUGCUGCAGAGAGGCCGUUCUGCACAAGGUCAAGCUGCUUGGCCCAAAGCCCAACCACGGCUAUCUCACCGCUGCCAUUCAGAACACGUUGAC